rnacentral:misc_RNA from 1 species
CUCUACUAUUAUCUAGGUAUUACUAUAUUUUUCCAUUAACAUAAAAAAGCAUAUUCUUUCUCAUUUUUAUUGAAUAAAUAAAAGUAAUAAAUAAGCAAAAUUUUCAUUUUUAUCUAUUUUCAAUUGAAUUUAAAUUGUAAAAAAAAAAACUUCAUAAAAGAUUAGGAAAAGUAAAAGUAUAUGAUAUAGAAACCUAUAAUAUAAAUGAAUACAAAUAAAAACAAACAAAUCGAACCAAACUAUAAAAAGUACUUGUUAUUUUUAAAGUUUAAAGAAACUAUGUAAGGCAAAUAGUACUAAAUAAAAAAAAAGGAGCAAUAACGCCCUCUUGUUUUAUCAAGAGGGAAGCUAUUGCUCCUUUUUUAGUUCAAAAACUCCUAUACAAUCAGACCAAAGUC